AGUGGCGCCAAUGAAGGUGCUUGUGUGGUCUGCCAUGGAGUCGCAGUGGCCGGCGUUAGGAACUCUCUUCUGACCGAGGAACCCCUGGAAUUUUGGUGGGGCUUGGGCUGGACUAAUUGGACUUUAUGACCCAUUAUUAAUAACCCAUUAUUAUGCAGUUUGAAAUGUAUAAUAAUAAGACAGAGAAUUAAGAAUAAUACGCAU
rnacentral:lncRNA from 1 species